GACCCCAUCGUCUAGAGGCCUAGGACACCUGGUUUUCAUCCAGGCAACAGGGGUUCGACUCCCCUUGGGGUCGCCA
rnacentral:tRNA from 2 species